GGAAUUACUGGGGGUAAAGCGUGCGUAGGUGGUUUGUUAAGUCUGUUGUGAAAGCCCCGGGCUCAACCUGGGAAUGGCAAUGGAUACUGGCAGGCUAGAGUGCGGUAGAGGGUAGUGGAAUUCCCGGUGUAGCGGUGAAAUGCGUAGAGAUCGGGAGGAACACCAGUGGCGAAGGCGGCUACCUGGACCAGCACUGACACUGAGGCACGAAAGCGUGGGGAGCAAACAGG
rnacentral:rRNA from 1 species